GGGCGCUAAGUAGAAGGACACGAAGUUUCUUUUCCCUGUUUAUAACCUCCCCAGCCAUGACCCUCAUAAACCCGAUGCUGUGACAGGCCACGUGGAGUCAAGUUAGCACAGUCCCAACGAGACGGCCUGGCCCUGAGCGUGGCGUCCUGACCCAGGAUGGCCCCUGUGGCCAGUGGCCCCGCCUCUCCCUUGUAACCCUGACUGUGCUCACGAGGGCCCUGCAGGGACGCCGUCACCGUGCGGGCCUUCAGCCCGCACUCCUCGCCCCGGGCUCGUGGGGCCUGGCGUGCUGGCGGUGCUCUGCCCUUUCUGUGGGCCCUACCUUUCGGGCCCCAGCUGACGGGGGAGCCCGGGGCUCUGACGGCUUCCUCACUUGGUUCUGCCUCAGGAGAACCUGCUCUCUGGUCACAUAACUGAAGCAGGGCUCAAGGGGGCACGCGCCCCACAACGACCUCGCUCGUGCCAGGGAAGCACUCCCCCGCCCUACCCCACCGCCCCGGGCCGCUGGGUGCACAGUGGAACAUUCUUACCUGGCUGCCACCACGACUGUUUUCUGAGCUGCACAAAUGGUGAAACAGUGUGGAACCGACCGCUCGCUCUCGCCCUCUUCUACCUGUGGCGGGAGAAGAGGCGGGCGUGUGGAGUGAGCCCGGGGCCGGCAGAGCCCGCGCCUGCAGCACAACACAGGUGCCUCGGAAGCCCUGUGCUGGGCAAAUCUCUGCUGACUACCAGGGGCUACAGGGGGCAUGGGGAUCCCCAGGCCACGGCACCUGCCACCCAGGUGGGCGAGCUGUGGGCCGCAGGGCACCGAACUACUCACCGGUGGGUCCAGCACUAUUAGCUGAAAGUCAAGCACAGGAAAAAAUGUUGAGCAUUUUCAUUAUCAAAAAGGGAAAUGGACAGUUCGCUUUAUAAACCUGGUACCAAAACCUGACAAAGUUAGUUUCAGAGAAAAACCCAACGGGCUGCUCACGGUCUAAGUGACUCACUGAAGUAACUCCCAAAUAAAAUACUAUCCAAUCAAACCCAAAGCACAGACAAGAAAUUGUCCUGUGACCGAGGAAGGGUGCUCCCGGGAUGCAACGGUGCUUUGACGCUGGGAAGCCGGCCAGCAGAGGUCUCCCUGUCGGGAGGAGGGCGGUCAUUUCUGCAAUGCCACAUACACCUCAGCUAAAAUCCAACGUGUGACUUUUGAUGUCUCUCACAUGGAAACAGGAGGAAGCCGUAAACAUGACAUAGGUUCUCUUUCUGAAGCCAAGACCUGUCACCCUUCCCUCUGCAUUCAGGAUGAGGGCCGGCUGUCUGUUCCCCGGAACCAGCCGGUUACAGACCACCCCCGAAGAGACGGCUUCCCCGUGUGGGGGCCCAUGCGAUGCCAACCACCAAGCCUCACUCAGGACACAAAAGAUCUGAAAGUGUGAGCAGUGGCAAGAGAAGGUCACGAUGUUCGUCUCCCUGUAAGUCAGCACGUAAAUGUAAUGCCAUUGAACUAGAAAUCCCGGUGCUGUUUUUGGAAGGAAUUUGUCCAAAUGAUUCCUCAGUUUAUCUGGAAGAAUUAAAUACUUGAAAGUAGCAAAGAACUUUUUAAAAAGGAGGACGAAUAAGGGGUGGAGCUUCCCAACACAGCAACCCACCCCCCCACGUGACAGAACAGUGUGAACUGAGGCUGGCCCGGAGAAAUGAGACGGGAGGCCCAGCAGGCACCCCAAGUGUGAAGGCCACAGUGUUUCCAUGACGAGGGCAGCCUUGGAGGUCAGAGAGAAACAGGUUCGACAAAGGAAGCUGCGUGCAAGGGGGGACGUGGCACGUCCCCAUCUGGUGGCCCGCAAGGAAACGCGUUCAGGCAGUUUGUGAGGGAGACUUAAGGAAACUGAACGUAUCAGAAGAACAAAAAGGCGCCGGUGUGAUCUUGGCACAGGGAAGGACUUCCUGAGCCCGCACUAAGGAUGGGAGCCCUGACGGAAAGGAUGAACUGAUCUGACUAUAAAAAUGUCUGGAUUCCCUCCUUCAGCAAGGAUUUGUUGGGACCUCUGUGCCAGGUGCCGUCCCAGGAGGAAGACACGAUCACUGUCCAGUGGACUUUCAAUUCUACCAGAUCACACCAAACCGCAGGCGAGACAAACAAGACUUGCCAGCUGCGGAAGGGAUCCGUGGCCUCCGCGAGCAGGUGGCGUCUAUAAAAUGCGGCACAAAUGUGUACGAAGAGCCAACAGACCGACAGAGACUGUGGCAGCAGACACCCGCGUGUCUCCUCGGGGAGGCCCCAGACUCUAGGAGACACGGACUCCGUCAGCCUCCACGACCGUCCAAAAGCUGCGCCACUGGCCGGACUGCGAAGGAUGAGGGGUGAGUGCCCAGUGCCCCCCGACGCCGUGGAAAGAGGCUCGGAUGCACUUAGUGGGAGGCCGGGUCGUGUGUAUGCUCCGGCAGUGAUGUGGCGCUGAUAUUCGGAGCCAGAAAAACGAGCGUGCCCAAGGCUCGAACAACACGUGCCGGGCGUAGAGAUGUGUAGAAAGACCAAAAUCCAACGGGGUUAUUUCUAAUUUCGAAAAACUAAAUGGAGCCAGAAUGUCCAAUGUCGGGAAACAGUUCAGAAAGCCAGAGUCUGGCCUCCCAGUCCACUGCCCGUCUCCGUUAAAUGUGCACGGAGCCCACCUAUUACAAGCACAGGAGACGUUAGGGAUGAAGUGCUGAGCAAGAACAAGCGAGUUACAGAAGAGCUUGUAGGUGAUUGUGCCGUGCCACCCAUGGAAAUGUUCCCGUACAGACGAAGCCUGAUGGGCACGUUGCAAAAUGCCAACAGUGCGUGUUACUUGGUGGCGAAGUUAUGAGAGAUUUUUAUAUUUUCCAUUUUUUUCUAUAAUGAAAGUAUAAUUAAAAAAUAUACACUUUAGGGGCGCCUGGGUGGCUCAGUCGGUUAAGCGUCCGACUUCAGCCCGGGUCACAAUCUCGCGGUCCGUGAGUUCGAGCCCCGCAUCGGGCUCUGGGCUGAUGGCUCAGAGCCUGGAGCCUGCUUCCGAUUCUGUGUCUCCCCCUCUCUCUGCCCCUCCCUCAUUCAUGCUCUGUCUCUCUCUCUCUCUCAAAAAUAAACAAACGUUAAAAAAAAUUAAAAAAAAAAA